rnacentral:pre_miRNA from 1 species
CGGGGGAGGCCGGAUCCUGGGCUGUGUCCCGGCGCCCUGUGCUCCGGACUGCGCUGUUGGAUUCGCGCUCCCGGUCUGCGCAGCCCCCU